UACGUAGGUGGCGAGCGUUGUCCGGAAUUACUGGGCGUAAAGUGUGCGCAGGCGGCCGCGCAAGUCGAGUGUGAAAGCCCCGGGCUUAACUUGGGAAUUGCGCUCGAAACUACGUGGCUGGAGUGUGGCAGAGGAAGGUGGAAUUCCACGUGUAGCGGUGAAAUGCGUAGAGAUGUGGAGGAACACCAAUGGCGAAGGCAGCCUUCUGG
rnacentral:rRNA from 1 species